AAGCAGGGCCACAAUAUGAACCCCCAUUCUCAGCACCAGUAAUAACAGUCAUUGUUUUUGCGGUGAUGGCUGGUAUCAUUGGAAUUAUCCUCCUAAGUUUUUACUUAUCGGUAAACAUAAAGCGAAGAGCAUCUGUCAGACCAUCUCAACCCUCCCGGAUAUAGGUGUGCUUCUUUUAACUUCUGUAGAGACAGACAGACCAGGUCAGUGUUAAUAUUUUUACUGCCUUUUGCCUUUUUGGAAGGGAAAUAAAUUAACAAUUUAUUUCUUUCUGAGUUGGGAAGGGUGCACUUAGUUAGAAUUCAUUUAUAUUCUAUUUCAUCAAUGCCUCCUCUGUAAGAUUUUAUUCUUUAUAUGAAUGUUUAUCUGCAGCAUAAUGAAACUCCCCCUUAGGCAUAAAAUAUCUUUUAAAAAAGAAAAAGUAAAACAAAUACCAUAAGUAAAAGCAAAAACUAAGUUCUUUUAUGUACUUUUUAUUUUCCCAAGUGCAAAGUUGUGUACAGGAGACCCUACAGUGGAUAGAGUUAAACAGCCCCAAAUCUGGAGCUAGACCCAGAUUUGA